rnacentral:lncRNA from 1 species
CUUGUCACCUGGACACAGGAACUAAUGUAAAAGAAUGAGCUCAGGUAUUUUGCUGUUGCUUUUUUUUCCCCCCUUUCUGUUAGGCCAGAGCUUGCAUGGUUGUAAAGUUCCUUGUGUGCCUUGCAGCUCCAGGAGCUCGUGUUCAAGAAGUGAAACAGAGCCAGCACCCGAUUAAGGCAGAUUCGGUCAGACAGCUGAAGAAACUGGAGUUGAAAAGUUGGUCAGGAUAUCAACACACCUUUAAAGCCCCUGCUCUCAGUUGCCAAUGGCCAGGAGAUACCAAGAGAUAAAAUAAGCUGCAAUACUGGGAUCAGUUGGGAUACCUCAUAGAGAAGAGAAGCACACCGUGACUGCUGCCUUGACAUUCUCCCAAGCUGACAUCCCGACCGGUAUGACACUGAUGCCUUUGGGCAGAAAUCAGAGCCGGUUUGCUACAUGCCUCUGUGUAGCCAGGAUGCCUGUAGUGCCUCUGAGAGCCCCCAGUGCCCUGGUGGGGAAAUGGAGCGAGCACGUGAGCCCCAGAUGAACUCCAGGGAAAGAGCAGGAAUUAUCUGUGGUGAUCCUGCUGCCCAUUUCCAGUUGUUGAAAUGGCUGGAAGAGAAGCCCUCUGACCAUCUGCUUUAUAUUCAGACUUCAGAUUUGAGUCUUCACCUAAAGGUAGGACUGAGAGCAAAGUCUCAUGUGUCGCAAACUCACAGUGAAAGAUAG